AGACUGGCGGCAAUCACUGUUUCAUGCAUUUUUGGUGGACAAUCUUCAGUUGACCUGAGUGCUGACUUGCUGUCCCGUUGCCAACAAUGUCCGGCUUGCUGAAUUCAAAUCUUAACAGCUCCACAUCGAACCUUCCAGACUCAUCUGGACGGCCAUUCACAACAUCCUUUUCUGGUCAAUCUGGCUCAGUUCAAGGUUUCCAUCACUCUGGUCUGCACAACAUUCAUGGAAAUUAUAGUCUUCCAAAUAUGCCUGGAUCACUUGCACAAAGGAAUGCUGCCAUGAGUGGCCUUCCAUCCUCUGGGGUUCAACAACCUGGAGGGAGCAUUUCUGGGAGAUUUGCUUCAAACAACCUUCCUGUUGCCAUGUCUCAGAUUCCUCAUGCACAUUCAGGUGUCAGUGGUAGAGGACUGAAUGUUGGUGGAGGUCAAGCAUUCAGCAGUGGAAUGAACAUGGGCGGUAACAUUCAAGGUUUAUCCUCAAACUUGGGCACCAGUGGUAGUCGAAAUUCUGUUCCUGGCAAUCCAGCUUUAGGAAACCUGGGCCCACGUAUUACAAGCUCUGCGGGAAACAUUGUGGGUGGAAGUAACAUUGGAAGAAACAUAAGCUCUGGUGGAUUGUCGGUGCCGAGUAUCUCAUCGCGCAUUGAUUUUAGUGGCAAUGCUGCAAGUGGAAGACUAAAUGUGCAAGGAUCCAACAGGAUGAUGAAUGGCCUUAUUCCGCAAGGAUCGUCGCAACUGAUGAAUAUGAUUGGAAGUUCAUACCCAACGUCUGGUGGUUCAUUAUCCCAGAACCAAAUGCAACCAGGAAAUAGUUCUCUGGGUUCUAUGGGGAUGCUACAUGACGCCAGUGACAGCGCUCCAUUCGACAUUAAUGAUUUCCCCCAAUUGACUGGUCGACCUAAUUCAGCUGGUGGUCCACAGGGACAAUAUGGAUCACUACGGAAGCAAGGAGUUGGCGUUAACUCCAUUGUUCAACAAAACCAGGAGUUCAGUAUUCAGAACGAAGAUUUCCCCGCUUUGCCAGGAUUUAAAGGUGGCAGUUCAGAUUAUCCUAUGGAGUUACAUCACAAGGAACAACUUCACGAGAAUGUACCUGUAAUGCAAGGACAACAAUAUCCUAUGUCAAGGUCAGUUGGGUUUAAUUUGGGAAGUAGCUAUCAACCAAAUCGUCAGCAACAUCAGCAGGGUGCUGCUAAUUCAAUUCAGAGCGGUGGGCCCCAAAAUAUUGGACUAAGACCACUAAACUCUCAGAGUCAAACUUCUAGUUUGGGAUCAUACGAGCAACUGCUCCAGCAAUACCAGCAGCCGCAGACUCAGAGUCCUUUCAGGUUGCAGCAGAUGUCUUCUUCAGCUGCACAGACAUAUGCGGAUCAUGGUCUAAAGCCCAUUCUGGGAGGCCGAACCCCACCUGAUCCAUACGGCUUGUUAGGAUUGCUGGGAGUUAUAAGGAUGAAUGAUCCUGAUUUGUCAUCUCUUGCUUUGGGAAUAGAUUUGACAACGUUGGGUUUGAAUUUGAAUUCACCAGACAAUCUGUAUAAGACAUUUGGCUCUCCAUUUUCAAAUGAACCAGCAAAAGGAGAUCCCGAAUAUACUACUCCAGCUUGUUAUGUUGCUGAGCAACCCCCAGCACUACAGCCUAUGCAUUUUCAGAAGUUCCAGACACUCAUACUGUUAUACAUAUUCUACAGCAUGCCGAAGGAUGAAGCUCAAAUAUGUGCUGCCAAUGAACUAUAUAAUCGUGGAUGGUAUUACCAUAAAGAAGCACGGCAAUGGUUCACAAGAAUUUCUAACAUGGAGCCUCUUGUCAAAACUCCUACAUAUGAACGGGGGUCUUAUGCCUUCUUUGAUCAAGGCAAUUGGGAGACAGUCCGUAAGGAUAACUUUGUUCUCCAUUAUGAGCUAGUAGAGAAAAGGCCAAGUCUCCCUUCCGCAUCCCAAAUUGUUAGGUGAAAUUUUUCUGGGUACCUCCUGACUCUAGCUUUCUUGUACAUGAAUAGGGAGCUUUCUUUACAAACAUAGUGAAGCGACAUUGCCCUAAUUUGUCGAGCAGGCCAGGCUAUAUAUGUAGUGAAUGAAUGAGGAAGUAUCUUGUCAGUCAUGUCGAUCAAUAUGCGGAGAGGAGGAGGCUAGACCAGGAAGAGAGCGAAAAAAAGGUGGUGUUUGUAAUUAUAGUUGUUAGGAGGAGGAAAAUUAAAGGAUGGAUGGAUGGAUGGAUGAUACCGUUGGGCAUUAAACAUUACAUUUACAUUUACAUUUACAUAGCUGCUGCUGCUUCUUUUUACAAUCAAUGAUGUAUGUAUGUAUGUAUGUCUCUCUCUAUUGCUCGCUCGCUCCUUUACAAAACAGCAGUUUAGGACUAGUCACUCAGUCGGCCGUGUGCAUUGCAUUGAUAUAUGGAUCAUGGAUGGAUGGAUGGAUGGAUUGUUUAUAUAUUUAAACUCAAUCAACCAAACAAAACAAAACAAAUUGGUUUAUGUUGUCUCUGUUUGUCUUGCAAUUGGAGACUCGUCGAGUUAUGCAUCUGCUGUGUUGCUCGCCAGCAGGCUGCUGUGUGUGAUUCCCAAUUUCUUGAAAGAAUUGCAGAAUGGCGCGGUGGUGGUGAAAUGUAACCGCUGUUGA
rnacentral:rRNA from 1 species